rnacentral:rRNA from 1 species
CGAACGCUGGCGGCGUGCUUAACACAUGCAAGUCGAACGGUGAAGCGCCUUCCUUUUUGGUGGGUGUGGAUGAGUGGCGAACGGGUGAGUAACACGUGAGUAACCUGCCCCCUUCUUCUGGAUAACCGCAUGAAAGUGUGGCUAAUACGGGAUAUUCUGGGUCUGUCGCAUGAUGGGUCUGGGAAAGAUAUUGUUUCGGUGGGGGAUGGGCUCGCGGCCUAUCAGCUUGUUGGUGGGGUGAUGGCCUACCAAGGCGGUGACGGGUAGCCGGCCUGCGAGGGUGGACGGUCACACUGGGACUGAGACACGGCCCAGACUCGUACGGGAGGCAGCAGUGGGGAAUAUUGCACAAUGGGCGCAAGCCUGAUGCAGCGACGCCGCGUGAGGGAUGGAGGCCUUCGGGUUGUGAACCUCUUUCGCCAGUGAAGCAGGCCUGCCUCGUUUGUGGGUGGGUUGACGGUAGCUGGAUAAGAAGCGCCGGCUAACUACGUG